UACGUAGGGUGCAGGCGUUAAUCGGAAUUACUGGGCGUAAAGCGUUCGCAGGCGGUUUCUUAAGUCCGGUGUGAAAUCCCCGGGCUUAACCUGGGAACUGCGCUUGUAACUGAGAGGCUAGAGUGUGGCAGAGGGGGGUGGAAUUCCACGUGUAGCAGUGAAAUGCGUAGAGAUGUGGAGGAGCACCGAUGGCGAAGGCAGCCCCCUGGGCUAACACUGACGCUCAUGCACGAAAGCGUGGGGAGCAAACAGG
rnacentral:rRNA from 1 species